UACGUAGGGGGCAAGCGUUAUCCGGAUUCACUGGGUGUAAAGGGAGCGUAGACGGCGACGCAAGUCUGGAGUGAAAGCCCGGGGCCCAACCCCGGGACUGCUCUGGAAACUGCGGCGCUGGAGUACGGGAGGGGCAGGCGGAAUUCCUGGUGUAGCGGUGAAGUGCGUAGAUAUCAGGAGGAACACCGGCGGCGAAGGCGGCCUGCUGGACCGUGACUGACGUUGAGGCUCGAGAGCGUGGGGAGCAAACAGG
rnacentral:rRNA from 1 species